CCUACGGGUGGCAGCAGUGGGGAAUAUUGCACAAUGGUGGAAACCCUGAUGCAGCGACGCCGCGUGAGUGAAGAAGUAUCUCGGUAUGUAAAACUCUAUCUGCAGGGAAGCAAAUGACGGUACCUGUCUCAGAAGCCCCGGCCAACUACGUGCCGCAAGCCGGGCGAACACGUAGGGGGCCAGCGUUAUCCGGAUUUACCGGGUGUAAAGGGAGCGUAGACGGCGCGGCACGUGCGGAGUGAAAGUCCAUGGGUUAACCAUGGUACUGCUGUGGAAACUGUGGAGCUUGAGUGCGGGAGGGGCAGGCGGAAUGCGUAGUGUAGCGGUGAAAUGCGUAGAUAUUAGGAGGAACACCGACGGCGAAGGCGGCCUGCUGGACCGUAACUGACGUUGAGGCUCGAAAGCGUGGGGAGCGAACAGGAUUAGAUACCCCGGUAGUC
rnacentral:rRNA from 1 species